rnacentral:rRNA from 1 species
AACGCGAAGAACCUUACCUGGGCUUGAACCGCACAGGGCCAUCUUUGGAAACAGAGACUUCCCGCAAGGGACCUGUGUAGAGGUGCUGCAUGGCUGUCGUCAGCUCGUGCCGUGAGGUGUUGGGUUAAGUCCCGCAACUAGCGCAACCCUUACUCGUAGUUGCCACCCGCAAGGGGGAACUCUACGAGGACUGCUCCGGAUAACGGAGAGGAAGGUGGGGAUGACGUCAAGUCAGCAUGGCCUUUAUGUCCAGGGCUACACACGUGUUACAAUGCACGGUACAGACUGUUGCGAACCCGCGAGGGGGAGCUAAUCGGAGAAAACCGUGCUCAGUUCGGAUUGCAGUCUGCAACUCGACUGCAUGAAGCUGGAAUCGCUAGUAAUGGCGUAUCAGAUCGACGCCGUGAAUACGUUCCCGGGCCUUGUACACACCGAGACGAC